GACGAACGCUGGCGGCGUGCUUAACACAUGCAAGUCGAACGGAAAGGCCCUGCUUUUGUGGGGUGCUCGAGUUGCUAACGUGUGAGUAACACGUGAGUCACCUGCCCUUGACUUUGGGAUCACUUCAGGAAACUGGGGCUAAUACCGGAUAGGAGCUCCUGCUGCAUGGUGGGGGUUGGAUAGUUUCGGCGGUUGGUGAUGGACUCGCGGCUUAUCAGCUUGUUGGUCGGGUAGUGGCUUACCUAGGCUUUGACGGGUAGCCGGACUGAGAGGGUGACCGGCCACAUUGGGACUGAGAUACGGCCCAGACUCCUACGGGAGGCAGCAGUGGGGAAUAUGGCACAAUGGGCGGAAGCCUGAUGCAGCAACGCCGCGUGCGGGAUGACGGCCUUCGGGUUGUAAACCGCUUUCGCCUGUGACGAAGCGGGAGUGACGGUAAUGGGUAAAGAAGCACCGGCUAACUACGUG
rnacentral:rRNA from 1 species